CGCCCUUAGAGUUUGAUCCUGGCUCAGGACGAACGCUGGCGGCGUGCUUAACACAUGCAAGUCGAACGGUAAGGCUCCAGCUUGCUGGGGUACACGAGUGGCGAACGGGUGAGUAACACGUGGGUGACCUGCCCUGCACUUCGGGAUAAGCCUGGGAAACUGGGUCUAAUACCGGAUAGGACCGCACCGUGAGGGUGUGGUGGAAAGUUUUUUCGGUGUGGGAUGGGCCCGCGGCCUAUCAGCUUGUUGGUGGGGUAAUGGCCUACCAAGGCGGCGACGGGUAGCCGGCCUGAGAGGGUGGACGGCCACAUUGGGACUGAGACACGGCCCAGACUCCUACGGGAGGCAGCAGUGGGGAAUAUUGCACAAUGGGCGGAAGCCUGAUGCAGCGACGCCGCGUGGGGGAUGACGGCCUUCGGGUUGUAAACUCCUUUCACCAUCGACGAAGGGUUUCUGACGGUAGAUGGAGAAGAAGCACCGGCUAACUACGUGCCAGCAGCCGCGGUAAUACGUAGGGUGCGAGCGUUGUCCGGAAUUACUGGGCGUAAAGAGCUCGUAGGUGGUUUGUCGCGUCGUCUGUGAAAUUCCGGGGCUUAACUCCGGGCGUGCAGGCGAUACGGGCAUAACUUGAGUACUGUAGGGGAGACUGGAAUUCCUGGUGUAGCGGUGAAAUGCGCAGAUAUCAGGAGGAACACCGGUGGCGAAGGCGGGUCUCUGGGCAGUAACUGACGCUGAGGAGCGAAAGCAUGGGGAGCGAACAGGAUUAGAUACCCUGGUAGUCCAUGCCGUAAACGGUGGGCGCUAGGUGUGGGUUUCCUUCCACGGGAUCCGUGCCGUAGCUAACGCAUUAAGCGCCCCGUCUGGGGAGUACGGCCGCAAGGCUAAAACUCAAAGGAAUUGACGGGGGCCCGCACAAGCGGCGGAGCAUGUGGAUUAAUUCGAUGCAACGCGAAGAACCUUACCUGGGCUUGACAUAUACAGGAUCGCGCCAGAGAUGGUGUUUCCCUUGUGGCUUGUAUACAGGUGGUGCAUGGUUGUCGUCAGCUCGUGUCGUGAGAUGUUGGGUUAAGUCCCGCAACGAGCGCAACCCUUGUCUUAUGUUGCCAGCACGUUGUGGUGGGGACUCGUAAGAAACUGCCGGGGUUAACUCGGAGGAAGGUGGGGAUGACGUCAAAUCAUCAUGCCCCUUAUGUCCAGGGCUUCACACAUGCUACAAUGGUCGGUACAGUGGGUUGCCGGUCCGUGAGGGCGAGCUAAUCCCGCAAAGCCGGUCUCAGUUCGGAUCGGGGUCUGCAACUCGACCCCGUGAAGUCGGAGUCGCUAGUAAUCGCAGAUCAGCAACGCUGCGGUGAAUACGUUCCCGGGCCUUGUACACACCGCCCGUCACGUCAUGAAAGUCGGUAACACCCGAAGCCAGUGGCCUAACACAUUUUGUGGGGGAGCUGUCGAAGGUGGGAUUGGCGAUUGGGACGAA
rnacentral:rRNA from 1 species